GACGAACGCUGGCGGCGUGCCUAAUACAUGCAAGUUGAGCGCUGAAGGUUGGUACUUGUACCAACUGGAUGAGCAGCGAACGGGUGAGUAACGCGUGGGGAAUCUGCCUUUGAGCGGGGGACAACAUUUGGAAACGAAUGCUAAUACCGCAUAAAAACUUUAAACACAAGUUUUAAGUUUGAAAGAUGCAAUUGCAUCACUCAAAGAUGAUCCCGCGUUGUAUUAGCUAGUUGGUGAGGUAAAGGCUCACCAAGGCGAUGAUACAUAGCCGACCUGAGAGGGUGAUCGGCCACAUUGGGACUGGGACACGGCCCAAACUCCUACGGGAGGCAGCAGUAGGGAAUCUUCGGCAAUGGACGAAAGUCUGACCGGGCAACGCCGCGUGAGUGAAGAAGGUUUUCGGAUCGUAAAACUCUGUUGGUAGAGAAGAACGUUGGUGAGAGUGGAAAGCUCAUCAAGUGACGGUAACUACCCAGAAAGGGACGGCUAACUACGUG
rnacentral:rRNA from 1 species